AUUGAACGCUGGCGGCAGGCCUAACACAUGCAAGUCGAACGGUAACAGGAAGAAGCUUGCUUCUUUGCUGACGAGUGGCGGACGGGUGAGUAAUGUCUGGGAAACUGCCUGAUGGAGGGGGAUAACUACUGGAAACGGUAGCUAAUACCGCAUAACGUCGCAAGACCAAAGAGGGGGACCUUCGGGCCUCUUGCCAUCGGAUGUGCCCAGAUGGGAUUAGCUUGUUGGUGGGGUAACGGCUCACCGAGGCGACGAUCCCUAGCUGGUCUGAGAGGAUGACCAGCCACACUGGAACUGAGACACGGUCCAGACUCCUACGGGAGGCAGCAGUGGGGAAUAUUGCACAAUGGGCGCAAGCCUGAUGCAGCCAUGCCGCGUGUAUGAAGAAGGCCUUCGGGUUGUAAAGUACUUUCAGCGGGGAGGAAGGGAGUAAAGUUAAUACCUUUGCUCAUUGACGUUACCCGCAGAAGAAGCACCGGCUAACUCCGUG
rnacentral:rRNA from 1 species